UACGGAGGAUGCAAGUGUUAUCCGGAAUCACUGGGCGUAAAGCGUCUGUAGGUGGUUUAAUAAGUCAACUGUUAAAUCUUGAGGCUCAACUUCAAAAUCGCAGUCGAAACUAUUAGACUAGAGUAUAGUAGGGGUAAAGGGAAUUUCUAGUGGAGCGGUGAAAUGCGUAGAGAUUGGAAAGAACACCAAUGGCGAAAGCACUCUGCUGGGCCGACACUGACACUGAGAGACGAAAGCUAGGGGAGCGAAUGGG
rnacentral:rRNA from 1 species